GACGAAGGGGGCUAGCGUUGUUCGGAAUUACUGGGCGUAAAGCGCGUGUAGGCGGUUAUCCAAGUCAGGUGUGAAAGCCUUGAGCUCAACUCAAGAAAUGCACUUGGUACUGGGUGACUAGAGGACCGGAGAGGAUAGUGGAAUUCCCAGUGUAGUGGUGAAAUACGUAGAGAUUGGGAAGAACACCAGUGGCGAAGGCGGCUAUCUGGACGGUUUCUGACGCUAAGACGCGAAAGCGUGGGAAGCAAACAGG
rnacentral:rRNA from 1 species